rnacentral:rRNA from 1 species
AACAGGAUUAGAUACCCUGGUAGUCCACGCUGUAAACGAUGUCGACUUGGAGGUUGUGCCCUUGAGGCGUGGCUUCCGGAGCUAACGCGUUAAGUCGACCGCCAGGGGAGUACGGCCGCAAGGUUAAAACUCAAAUGAAUUGACGGGGGCCCGCACAAGCGGUGGAGCAUGUGGUUUAAUUCGAUGCAACGCGAAGAACCUUACCUACUCUUGACAUCCAGAGAAUUUGCUAGAGAUAGCUUAGUGCCUUCGGGAACUCUGAGACAGGUGCUGCAUGGCUGUCGUCAGCUCGUGUUGUGAAAUGUUGGGUUAAGUCCCGCAACGAGCGCAACCCUUAUCCUUUGUUGCCAGCACGUAAUGGUGGGAACUCAAAGGAGACUGCCGGUGAUAAACCGGAGGAAGGUGGGGAUGACGUCAAGUCAUCAUGGCCCUUACGAGUAGGGCUACACACGUGCUACAAUGGCAUAUACAAAGAGAAGCGAACUCGCGAGAGCAAGCGGACCUCAUAAAGUAUGUCGUAGUCCGGAUUGGAGUCUGCAACUCGACUCCAUGAAGUCGGAAUCGCUAGUAAUCGUAGAUCAGAAUGCUACGGUGAAUACGUUCCCGGGCCUUGUACACACCGCCCGUCACACCAUGGGAGUGGGUUGCAAAAGAAGUAGGUAGCUUAACCUUCGGGAGGGCGCUUACCACUUUGUGAUUCAUGACUGGGGUGAAGUCGUAACAAGGUAACC